rnacentral:rRNA from 1 species
UACAGAGGCCCCGAGCGUUAAUCGGAAUUACUGGGCUUAAAGGGUGCGUAGGCGGACCAGAAAGUGCUUUGUGAAAGCCCCCGGCUCAACCGGGGAACUGCGGGUCUGCAGUCGAUACGGGCAGGCUAGAGUUCGGUAGGGGAGACUGGAAUUCCUGGUGUAGCGGUGAAAUGCGCAGAUAUCAGGAGGAACACCGGUGGCGAAGGCGGGUCUCUGGGCCGAUACUGACGCUGGAGGAGCGAAAGCGUGGGGAGCGAACAGG